AUGAGAUGUACUUCUAAAUUAAUCAAAUUACUCUGCAUUUGAAACUUAAUUUCUAUACUUAUUUAAUUUACAAUUUAAAGUACGAGAGCGACAUUCAAACCCCAAAGUCGAAAGUAAACCCACAAUGUAAUGGCUAAAACAAAAACAGAAAACCAGACAAACGAUAGUGCAAAAAAAAAAAACCACACAGAAAAAGUAAGACUGGGCAACACGAAAAGGCACAAGUUAUUUGAAGUCCAAUAUUGCUGUUGACAAAUUAAUGGACAAGUCGUAUAAUAAAAAAUACCAACUCCUCGUGAACAAUUGAUACAUAUAUAUUGUAUACUUUAUUGAAUCUUAUAUGAAAAUAUUUAUGAUUUCAUUGGAAUUCGGUUAAUGAACAAAUGCACAAACAUUAAUUGCUAUUAUGAUAAGUUAUUUGUAGAAAAGGCGGUUGGUAACUCAUUGUUAAAUUGAAACAAAAAACAGAGGAUCAAGCUAUUUUUGUAGUACGUUUGUCUUUCGUUAAUAUGUUUAUGAAAAUGUAUAUAAAAACACUGCAUCCCACCUAAAAUCUAAACUGCUCAAUAGACGUAAAAGAUGCAUCCGAGUACUCGCGAGUACUCGAGUAUCAUGACCGAGUAUCCGAGUAUUAAAUUUCAGAUCUUUUGACAUCCCUAUUACUUAGUGUAUUUUUUGUUGUUGGGAUAAACAAGUACCCGGCUACGUUUACUCUGUGAUUUUGUUAGGUGUAUUUCUAUUUGUAUUCGUCUGAUAAAUUUAGCCUCUCAACUGAUUUUUAUAGUUCGUUCUUAUGUUGUACUGUUACAACACUGUCCCAGUUUAGAAAGGAGGGUUUGGACCCCGCUAACAUGUUUAACCCCGCCG
rnacentral:lncRNA from 1 species